rnacentral:rRNA from 1 species
GACCUGAGAGGGUGAUCGCCCACACUGGGACUGAGACACGGCCCAGACUCCUACGGGAGGCAGCAGUAGGGAAUCUUCCGCAAUGGACGAAAGUCUGACGGAGCAACGCCGCGUGAGUGAUGAAGGCUUUCGGGUCGUAAAACUCUGUUGUUAGGGAAGAACAAGUGCUAGUUGAAUAAGCUGGCACCUUGACGGUACCUAACCAGAAAGCCACGGCUAACUACGUGCCAGCAGCCGCGGUAAUACGUAGGUGGCAAGCGUUAUCCGGAAUUAUUGGGCGUAAAGCGCGCGCAGGUGGUUUCUUAAGUCUGAUGUGAAAGCCCACGGCUCAACCGUGGAGGGUCAUUGGAAACU